GCAGGUACUAGGCGUGCCAUGUGCAGGCUCUUGCAGCCCAGCUGUUGCCCUGGCAGCUCCAUGACCACACCUCUGUGCCCAGACAUGGAUCAGAACUGGGAGAAAAAGAGAAGGUGGUACCUUCUAUCCCCUUCACCCUGGGUCUUUCAGGAUCUGCCCCAAGGAGCAGAAAACGGGUGCGCCCAGAGCAGCUUACUCAGGAGACGCUUGCUGUAUGUAUGGCCUGGGACAACUGUAAGAGCCCUGAGGGCACAGAGUAUGGGCAACAGGUGAUAGCAAAUCAAGGAGCAUAUUUAGCAAUGCCUGUGCUACCUAGCAAUGAGAAAUCUAUGAAAAUAGCGACACCACAGGAAUAGGGACUGCAGAGUGGGAAGAAAUGAGGGGUGACCAUGUUGAAGAAACUGUGUUUCGGCAGAGGAGAGAGCAGAGCAAUGGGGUGAGGUGGGAAUGCUUUUGGGUGGGCUUCAGAAGCAGUGAGGUCAGUGUGGCUGUCGUGAGGUGUGGAGAGUUGGGGAAGAGGAAAGGGGGUACCUGAGUUACCUGGGGCCACGUCACGUAGGGCCUGGUGGGCUGUGGUAGGGACUUGGGAUGUUUCUCUAAGUGCAGAAGAUUUUGAGCUGGGGAGAUGUGAUUGGAUUUAUGUUGUAGGGGCAAUAGAGACUAGGGAAUUGAACAGGAAGCAGGGAGGCCAGGAGGUGGCAGCUGUAGAGGUCUGGAGGCUUGGAUGUAACCAGGAGGGUUGGACAGAGCUACAGGUCAGACUGGGUCCACAUUUCAAAGGGGAUCUUAAAGGCUGUGAGAGGGACUAUUACAUGCCACCAAUAUUGAUUGUGCUCCUACCAUCAGGAUACAGAGAUGAGACAGUGAUUCCUGUCCUCAAGGAGGUUACAUUCGCAUGGGGAGAGACACAUAGCAAAAGAGACCACCAAGGCAAGUCCGCCGAGAGAUGAUGAGAGCCCAGAGGGCAUAUCACUAAGAGAAGGCCAGGAAUGAUCUCACGGAGCAAAUGGCAAUUGGCUUGAGUUUUGAGGAAGUAGAAGUUUGGUCAACAGGUAGGAAGCUGAGUAGGAAGGGAAUUUCUGGCAAAGGCACAGUUGCUGGUUCAGUGGCAUCGUUCCCUCUGGGGAAUCUGGGAAGACUGUGCCUGACUGUGGUUCCUGAUGGGAUUGCUGGUAACUGGCUCCAGAAAGAUUAUUUGGUGGAUAAAAAAAAAAUGCAGGAUAUAUUUGGAAAACUACAAGUUAGCCUCUAAGCUGGCAAUGUGAUGAGGGCAUGGCAGGGUGCCUCUAGGUUCUCUACAGUAAUGGGGCUCUGAAGAGAAAUUGAGGGGACUGUGAAGCUGUGUUUGCACAGUUCUCUGCAUAAGAUUUGGAAACAGCUGACAAUGCGCAUUAAAGAAUGAGGGUGCUGCUAAUGGAGGUCAUGAGAGUCACCACUCCCUAAACUUGCUCCUUGGCCCCCUCUUUGAGCUUGGAGGUAAAUCUGUGGAGGCUAAGGUUGGGUGGGGCAGUGUAUGUCCUGUUAAUGAGUUAGGACCACAACAAACAGGGAGCUCUUGAUGGGGUUCCUGAAGGUGAGUGAGAAGCUCAGGUGAGUCCUCUAGGGAGUUCACUCUGGAGUGUUGAGGGAGACAGAGUAGACAGGACAAGACAGCAGCUGAGGAAGAGGAUGGCUAGAAGGCUGUUGCAAAAUUCCACUAUGAUCUUCCCUUUGUAAAACCUUCUUUGGAACACACCCCAGAAUACACUGGAAAAUUCAGAAAGGUGGACAAUGGAGAAAGGACAGGAAGCAAGUCCCAGAAUCCACAGCAGCUCCCCAGCACCCCGGGCAAGCACUACCUCCCUGCCAAGGUUCAAGUGGGGCUCUCUUGGCAGCCUCCAUAGGAACUGGCCCGGGGCGAGUUCCCGGGGUAAAAGGUGCAACCUGGGUGUGGGCCGGUUUCCUUGUGAAGGCUGUGGCUUCCCCUCAGGCUCACCCUUGCUGAUGCUGAGUAAUCUGCAGGCUGCAAUCUGCCCGUGAAAGAACUCUUGCAACACAUUGUGUGAGGAUCCCAGGCUGCCCUGUCCUUCCCUGGGAAUCAGGUCAAGAGCCCUGCUGGCAGGUGUCCUAGAGCAUGAAUCAGGCCCCUGGCAAGGAGAAGGCGGGAGAUCUUGGCUGAGAUCAGGUAGGAAGGUUUAUUGGAUGAUGUGUCUGGUCAAUAGCCAAUCUAUUAACCCCCCCUGAGAGAAUUAGGAACCUUCAUAUGAUGGGUCAUCUCUUUGUGGGAGAAGUUUAGAUAACUGGAAACCACAUUUUGGUCAAGAAUGACUCAGUUAAUUUUUCCAUGCCUUUAGUGAGGAUUUAAUUUUGCACGGGUAAGUGACUUCAGAGUGGUUGGUGAAAGCUGGCUGGCUGUCAUUUUGUCUGGCAGUGCAGAGUGGCAAUUUAUCCCUUUAGGUGGCCCAAGAUUUGGGUGGCUGGACUUUCCAAGGCAAUUUAAUUUAAUUUAUUUGUUUAUGCUGAGCCUUGGGUUAAUGCUUUCAAAUGGUUUAUUUCAGAGAUCUGAUAACCUGCGGACUGACUUUCUCCUUCUAGACUUGUGUUGAUUUGAUUCAACAGACCCUCAUGACUCAUGAAGCACCUAUAUGUACCAGUCAUUGUGAUAAAUCUGGGGAUUAGACAGGGGCAAAACUCAGUCCUUGUUGAGUUAGCUCAUGGUGCAAUACUGGACUCAGACAUAAACAAACACACAGAAAUGAUAGGUUUGUGUGGCAUGCUGAAGGCCCAGGUAAGAAGGAAUUCAUUCUGUUGGAUAAGGCGGGGACUCAAGGAGGCUUCCUGGAGGAAGCGAAAUCCUAGAUGAGUCUGAAAGGGUAAAUAGGAAUGAAUGCUCUCCAACUCUGAUGGAGUUGAUGAUCUCAGGGUUGGCCUCUUUUCAUACUGGUUUUGAGUAUAAAUGAUUAAUUUGUUUGUAAUAAUUAAUAAAAAGAAGAAGAAUGCAUUCACAAGCAUCACAAGUGAAUCCAUCCCUGACUUCUUAGUAAUUUCCCCUUUUACACCCUGCUAAUAUGAUCCCUGUUUUUUGCCCUUUAUGAAGUGGUCCACAGUGUGAAAAAUUUGAAAGGCCCCAAAGAAUGAAUAGUUCUUCAGUAAACGAAUUGGAACAGCAUAUUGGGCAUGGAGUCAAGAUGUUGACCUAUGUAAUUCUUUUGACUUUUUUAUUUUAAAAUUACUAUGAUUCCUUCAGGGCAAGCACUGCUUUAAUAAUUCAUCUUUCUGUCUUCAAAAGUCAGCCCAGUGACUGUCCCUUAUUCCACAGAUGUGGAACCAAUUCAGGAUUGUCCUUGUGAUUCUUUUUCCUAAGUGGAAUACUGAGCCUCCAGCUUGUGUGUCAUAUGUGUGGACUUUUCAGCAUAUUCUUCUCUGGCCCAGAAGUCUGGAUUCUUCUUGUCUGUUGCAAUAAUAUAAAGUUAUUCAGAGCUGUACAUGAAGAGAAGUCCCACAGGGACCCUGGGAUCAGAAGAACUCUGGGAAAUGCCUGGCCCAGCCAGUGCUGUUCUAAAGAUCCUCAUCCUCAUGGAGAUAACCAUUUUUAAGGAAGAAAAGAGGAUCUGGACCCUACCCAUCUCAGUCUCCAUCAGAUCUUAUGGAUGCUCCAGGAAUUGGCCAUGAUUCUCCUCUUUUCUACCAUCUUGUAUGUUGGGCUUUGUAGAGGAUAGAUGUUUUCUAGAAGAAUGGCAGAUAAGGCAAGGUCUGCAGCUUGCCAUUGAUAGUGUCUUUAUCAACAGAUCUGUGAGGAAUUGUGCAGCUGAGAGGGGAGAAGAGAAAUCAGAGAGUGGAUGGACUGCCACAGUUCAACAUAUACUGGUGCUUUCAAUAUAGAAUCCACAAGGCAACCUGCAUGCUGGGCUCUGUGCUAGGCACUAGGGGUAUAUCUAUGAGAUGCCACCCCAGCUCCCACAGUCUUACAAUCUAAUGGGGAAGAGAGAUAUGUCAAUAGACAAACGCAGCAGAUGGCAAGUGCUGGGAUAUGAAACAGUAAGCAGAAGCCACAGUGUUCUCUGGGACUUCUGAGCUGAGUCCCAAAGUAAUUAGAUUAAUCCGUCAUGGGAGGUGGAGUGGGUAGGGGGAGCUCCUGGAAGCAUGAUCAAAAGUGGAGAGCUAAGGUGAGGGAGAAGAAAGAAAUGAGAUUCAGCAAAGAGGAGGAGAGCAAUGAAGGGCCAUGUAUGACCAGGCGAAGGCAAAUUGUUCGGACCAAACAUGACAGUAGGGUGGGUUUUUGAGGGGUAUCCACUGCACUUACAGAGGCAAGAUUCUCUAUGGUGACCUUUCAGUGAGGGUGGGCAAAUACACUACUUUUUGAGUCAGCCAUUUUUCACUACUGAGCACCUCUGGCCUUAGCAAGUUCUGAGCAUGAAUACUUUCUUCUGUUUCUAAGCCAUUCAACAAAUAUCAAAGUGCUUUCCCAUGUAUUGGUCAUCUUAGGCAAACUGGGUGGACAUGUAGAGCAAGACGUAAUGAGGUAAGCACUCACUAGAGCUAGGUCAUCUUAGAAAAGUCACUUAGCUUCACUGAGCCUCAGUCUUCCUAUCUGUGAAAUGGGGAUAAUGACCCUUAUGUCACCUGGUGGGCAAGGUCUAAAUAAAAUCAUUGUAGUUAGAUCCAUAGUAGGUUCUUUCUGACCUACCACUGUGCACCUCACGCCGUUGCUAUUCCAGUGGGAUAUAUCCAGUGGGGUUACGGGUAUGACAUUUCGGAACCCCACCAUCACUUGUAUCAGCAGGUCUGUCCUAGGUUCCCCAACUAAGCUUCCUGGAUGAGGCACCUAGUGGCGUCCCCUAGUUUGAGUGUGGGGGGUUUGGUAAACUAGUCCUUAUGUAUGCUUGUCAGAUGGAGGGUACUGUCUUUAAGAUGGGCUCAUAGCUGAAUCUGGAAGGUAAGUGCUCCAGGCCAGUAUUGUUUUCUGCAGGAUUCAAAGUUCCCUUGCUAUUUCUGCUGACUUUGCUUCCCCUCUCGUGUUCUAUAUCCCAAACCUAUUAUCUUCACCAGCGUUAAUUUGCCUCCACAACUCUGUUUUUGCAUUUUGAAAUGGAAUUUCCCUUAACCUAUAUUCCUCUGGUUCCCAAACUCCACCUGCUUCAGUUUUUUUUUCAAUAUCAUCUACAUUUCCUUCACUAGAUUAUAGCCUUAGUCAUUUGUACCCUUAGAAUGAAUAUUUUUUUCUGUCAUAUCUUUGUUUGAACCUUUUCACAUUUGACUUCAGACAUUACCCAUCUCCUUCAUCUGACCACUUUCUUCACUUUUCUCAUCUUUCCAUUUUGGUUGUAUGUCUACUGAGCAAGGGGCUCUGUGCAGAGCAUUCAAAGAUGACUGAGAUGUAGUCUUGUGGGUAGAGAGAGACAAUUAGAAUGCACCGUGGAGAGUGUUAGGUUGAGGGAAGCGGAGAUUACAGGAGUCCAAAUGUCUUAUCCGAGGAUAUGGGAUAGGCUUGAGAGAAGAUGCUGAGCUCAUGUAGGUGAGGUAUUGUCCUACGUGAAGGAAAAGAGGCAGGAGAUGGCAGCUUGGAGGCUAUAUUACUUUCUCUGGGGCUGCCAUACCAAAGUACCACAAACUGGGUGGCUUAAAACAUCAAAAAUGUAUUUUCUCACAGUUCUAGAAGGUAGAAGCCCAAAAUCAAGAUGUUGGCCCUACAGCUGUGCUCCUUCUGAAGGCUUUGGGGUGAAUGUGUUUAAUGCCCUUUUCUUAGCUUCUGCCCUUUUCUUUUCUGGCCUUCACAGAAGGCCAAAGAGCAAUCCUUGGCCUUCCUUGGCUUGUGGAUGCAUCGUUUCAGUCUCUGCCUCUGUUUUCACAUGGCCCUCUUCCCUGUGUAUCUGUCUCUACGCUGCUUCUCAUCUUAUAAGGACACAAGUCAGAUUGGAAUAAAGCCUAUUCUAAUUCAGUAUAAUCACAUCUUAACUUGAUUAUGUAUGCAAAGACCAUAUUUCCAAAUAAGGUCACAUUUUCAGGUCCUCGGGGUUAGAGCUUUCACAUGUCUUUUUGGGGGACAUAGUUCAACUCAUAAUAGAAACCUCGCAGAUAAAUCAUUUUGGCCGGUGCACAGAGUUAAGUGGUGGAUUAUCAAGAAUAUGGAAUUUUAGAAUUUUAGCUUCUUGGUUGAUUUUUGGGAAUUAACAUACAGGAGAGCAGGUUUAGAAGUAACAAUAACACUUUGAGAGGCCGAGGUGGGCAGAUCAUGAGGUCAGGAGAUCGAGACCAU
rnacentral:lncRNA from 1 species